GUUCUGGCCUUGAACUCACGAUGUAGUCCAGGCUGGCCUCAAACUGUGGCAAUCCUUCUGCCUCAGCCUCCCCAUUGCUGGGGUUAUAAGCGUGCACCACCACGCCUGGCUUUUUUUCUCUUUUAGCUCGCCCAGCCUCAGUCUGUCUGGAUCACCAUCCAGCACUGGUCCCAAAACACACGUUGCUCAGGGCUCAAGUCUUCGCAGGGCUCACUGCAGCGCCAGGAGCCUUUCCACACCUCCUGCCAACCUGGCCUCACCUGCUUGUCCUCCACUGCACAUUUCCCCUCAGGUCCCCUGGCCGCGCUCCGCCUGCCCAGUUUUCAUAAUCCUCUCAGGCUCCAGCGAGAGAGGCACCGCCCACCGCAGGGCCUGGUCACGUGAGGGAAACACUGCGGGCCCCAGGCUGCGGACGGAGCCUGGAGAGCCCUGUCCUGUUUCCCUCCGCGCUGAAGUCAGGCUGUCAGGAAACCUGGCCCGUCUCCCGCUAAGCGACCUAGACCUCCACCCUCGCAUCACUACAUGCGAAUUAUACCUCUGCAUGAUUUGAGGCAAGCUGUCUGCAGGACUUACUGCAUUAUAGGUUGGAAGACGAGGAGGUGCUGUCAUCGUUCAUUACAUCAGCAAGCGCUCGUGGAGAACCUGCCACACCAACAGACCAGACUGGAUGCUUUGGAUCCAGUCUCUGGCUCAGCUGUCCUGUGAGGGAGCAGCCACAGGGAGACAAACGGCACUUCCUGUGCACUUCGAGCAGCUGGCUAUUUACAAGAGCCCCUGGUCACACAGGGAUCGAACUUGGGACCUUGCGCUUGCCAGGCAGGUGGCGGAACCACUGAGCUAAAUCCCUGGCUCGGCUGAGUGAAUUUUUGAUAGGACAAAUGUCCCACUGCGUUAUCUGCGUGAGGGGGAAGUCAGCCUGUGAAUUGUGGAUACAAAAGUCCCUUUUCCCCUUAUCCUCAGCUGGGAGACUUUUCCCUGGCUCACUCUCACCCUGUAGAGUGUACCUCUUUUCUACCUUCAAUAAAUGUACCAUUUUGCUGC
rnacentral:lncRNA from 1 species